rnacentral:lncRNA from 1 species
AUUUUUUUCCUUUAGAUUUUUAUUUUAUGUACAUGUAUGUGCACCACAUGUGUGCCUUAGACUUAGGUCAGGUCCCCUAGGACUGGAAGUGCAGGUAUUGUGAGCCUCCAUGUAAGUACUGGGAAUCAAACCCAGGUCCAGGUCCUCUUCAAGAGCAGUAAGUACAUGUAUUUAGGGUUGGUGGUGGUGGUGGUGGUGGUGGUUGUUUUGAGACAGUUCUCACAGUGUAGCUCAGGAUUGCCUAUAAAGCAUAGGCUUGCCUCAGAUUCCACAGCUGUCUUCUCUGCUUUUUCUCAAAGGACUGUAGCUGUGUAACACCAUACCCAGCAGCACACUUGAUUUUAUUUUUAAAGAUUUAUUUGUAUGUGUUUGUGGCUUUAGAGACCAGAAGAGGUGGAUCUCCUCUGAUGCUGCACCUGGUAGUGAGCUGCCUCAUGGUGCUGGCAUUCAAAAGGGCUCUUAACUGUUAAGCUAUGUAUGUCUCCUGUCCCCAGCUGCCAUUUUGUCAGUCCUGUCUUUCAGUGUGUUAUCUGGGGCUCUUACCUCUCAGUUAUCAGGUUUAUGCCUGAAGCCCCUUUCCCUGUUAAGCAUUGUGCUGCUCUCCAGCCCCCUUUAAAUUCCACCUCUGCUUGAGAAUAACAUUGUCAGAGAAGUACAAGUGUACCUCUGCUUUACUUUUUUAAAAAAAAUCUAAACAAGCUAGCUAGGUGUUGCUCACUUUUAAUCCCAGCACUCAGGCAUGUUGCUGCACAGACAAAAACCCUGUCUCAAAAAAAA